GACAGCAAUAUGAAGGCCAGGCUGAAGACUUUGCCGGAUUAGCUGAGAGGUGGUGCAUGGCCGUCGUCAGUUCGUACUGUGAAGCAUCCUGUUAAGUCAGGCAACGAGCGAGACCCACGCCCACAGUUGCCAGCGUACUCUCCGGAGUGACGGGUACACUGUGGGACCGCCGCUGCUAAAGCGGAGGAAGGAAUGGGCAACGGUAGGUCAGUAUGCCCCGAAUAUCCCGGGCUACACGCGAGCUACAAUGGUUGGUACAAUGGGUAUCUACCCGAAAGGGACGGGAAUCUCCUAAAACCAAUCUUAGUUCGGAUUGAGGGCUGCAACUCGCCCUCAUGAAGCUGGAAUCCGUAGUAAUCGCGUUUCAACAGAACGCGGUGAAUACGUCCCUGCUCCUU
rnacentral:rRNA from 1 species